GGCUGAUGUGAGUGCAGCGGUGUUUACAACUAAUUGAUCACAAGCAGUUAUAGAUUUCUUUGUUCCUUCUCCACUCGCACUGCUUUACUUGGCUAGCCUAAA
ensembl:misc_RNA Y_RNA Y RNA